UUCAUUAAGCCUGAAAGAGCAUGAAAUUUUUUAUGGAAAUGUUAAAUGUCAAAGUAAUAGUUAUCACUGAAUCAUACUUGUGACAUUACUUAACAUAUACAUAUAAAUAUAACAGAAUUCUAUGGAACCUUUAAUACCCAGAAUGCCUGCAGCCACACCACCAGCCGAAAAUGGCGCGCCGCGCAGCGAGUUGGAGCAACUCCAAUUACGAGCCGGCGAAGUUACUGAUGAGUCACUGGAAUCAACUCGGCGUAUGAUGCAACUAUGCGAGGAGAGCAAGGAGGCCGGCAUACGAACUCUGGUCGCUCUAGAUGACCAGGGAGAGCAAUUGGAUAGAAUUGAGGAGGGGAUGGACCAGAUAAACGCAGACAUGCGUGAGGCCGAGAAAAAUCUGUCUGGAAUGGAGAAGUGCUGUGGUAUCUGCGUGUUGCCUUGUAACAAGGGAGCAUCGUUCAAGGAAGAUGAUGGUACAUGGAAGGGCAACGAUGACGGUAAGGUAGUCAACAACCAGCCGCAACGGGUGAUGGACGAGCGCAAUGGCAUUGGACCACAAGCGGGAUACAUUGGCAGGAUAACAAACGACGCUCGCGAAGAUGAGAUGGAAGAGAACAUGGGUCAAGUAAACACUAUGAUCGGUAACUUGCGUAACAUGGCCAUUGACAUGGGCUCUGAACUUGAGAACCAGAACAGGCAGAUCGACCGUAUCAACCGCAAGGGUGAAUCGAAUGAGACAAGAAUAAAGGUCGCCAACCAGCGCGCACACGAGCUCCUCAAGUAAACGGCGGCGGCGACACACAAACACACACACGUCUCGUGGUCAAGUCGAUUGCAAACACUUAAGUACACAAAAAAGGACUUUAUUUUUAAUUGGAUUUUGUACAAUAUUUUUUUAAUUAUGUCAAUCUAAAGGUUAUAUUUUUAAGUCUUUUAAAAAUUGUUUGCAACCGACUUAAAGAACCAGUAUUUUGCUUAGUGACAUUAUCCAAUUAAUCUUUAUCUGUACUAAUAUGUAGACAUUUGAAGUUGUAUAGAAUAUUGCUAUUUAUUAAAGGAGGGAAGGAUCAAGACUUUUGCUUGAAGGAAUUAUUGUUAAAUGCAUAAAAAUCGAAUGCAAUAAAAUUGCUAAACUCCCUUUUCAUAUUAAAAUUAUUUACCUUUUAAACGCUCCGAUUAUUUGUUGAUACCCAUUUUUUUAUAAUUCUAUAUGAAAAUGUUACUAUGACCAGUGUUAAAAAAACUUUUCUCGUAUAAUAUAGGUUUUUGUAGUCAACUAUAAGAAUAUCGUAAGGAUUGGCUAAUGUGAUAAUAUGAAGAUAAGGUGGAGUUAGGUUAAUAUAUUUCAUAGGAGCAUUUAUGUUCUAUGCAAAAAAUCCACCCGCAAUGCCCAUAAACGUAUUACAUAUCUCAACACACCUGCUUCUAUGGAAUAUUUCUUAGAAAAUGCUUUGUAUGAAACGGCUUUUUAUUACAAAAAACUUUUCUUAGUUUUGUAUUCGAGAUUACAUUUAGAUAGGAUUCUGUUUAUAUACGAAACCUGAAGUGUUUUUAGGAAAUAAGAACUGGCACAAGGCAGAAAAGAACCAGCCUAAAAAAUUACAUAGAUCCAAAGGUGUCGUUAAUAUAUAUAAAGUACCAAAGAGUUAUUUGGAAAUAGAUUGCUCCCCAUGCCUAUAAGAUCUUGGAAUACAAGUACUUAAUGCAGGCGUUAUAAGAAGGAUUCGCAUACGUAGCAAGAACGUAUACAUACGCGUAUACUGAUUUCAUAAACACUCUUGUCUUGAAAUUGUCCCUUUAAAAAAAUCUACAUUUCGGGUUUCAACAAAUAUACUUUAAGUAAUCAACGCUAGAUUAGUUGUUAUAUGCUUCAUAAUAAAUUAAUCAUCUAGUUGAUAAUUUUAUUUAUUCCUAUACGAUUUAGGCACAUAAAUACCUCGUUAAAUGUUUCAUUACUCUAUAUAUAUAUAUAUAUAUAUAGUCAUGUAGUUUUUCACCACGAGACAGACAUACAUACACUAACACAUUUACGGACAACGAUACUGGUGAGAGUAACGAGACCCGUAUAGCAGUCGCGAACCAGCGAGCGAAUAAACUACUCAAAUCUUAAACAGAUUACAACAGCGGUUGGCAGAAUGACGUUAAUCAUAUGUCAAAUGUUCGAUAAUUAUUAAAGACGAUUUUACAAUCAUAAUACCGGAUUGUAGCGAUGAAAAACCGGGUUUCGGUUUCAGAGUUUAUCGAUUAGCAGUGUCGUUUUGCUUCUAGAUAUAUUUUAUUCUUCCAUUUCUUAUAUAUCGAUGGUAUUUUUUCUUGGACCAAGUUUUUCAGUACAAAUGGUACAUAUCAGAUUUAGCGUCAUUUUGUGAACCUUACAGUAAAAGUUGGAACGUGGAUACAAUAAAUAGAAGAAUUGAUAUAAUGUAUAGAGAUGUUAUAACUAGAUAUAACCCAGUUUCUGGCCGACUCCGACACGACAAACGCAUUAAAGGCACAUACCCUGGGGUUUGAGACGACAAUUAUUGUCAACAGGUGUCGCCCAUUAAUGAAAAUUUGUAUAAAUGUCAAUGUCAUUCCCAUACAAAUUGUUUAGCGUUAGUGGGCCACGCCUAUGGGAAAGUGAUGUUGUCGCUAGCCCCUAAAUCUAAAUUCUAUAAGAUUUCUAUUAAAGAUUCACUAUAACUUUGUUAUAUGCUUAUUGUAACGUAUCCUGUCAAGUAGUUCUAUAAUGCACAAAAUUUCUUUAAUGUGCCAAAAGUAUUUGAUUAUUUCGCGCGACAAAUUCCUUUAAAAAUAAUCUAGUCUCAAUUGCGUUGCUAGGAUUUUAAUAAAUUUGGGCGUCAAAUGUAAUGGCCGAUGUGAAUAAAAAAAAUCUUAAAAUGCAAAAUAUAGUUCGAAAUUCAAAUAAUAAUUUAAUUAAGAAUGACAAAUUGUUCGAAAUUUAAAAUAACAUAAAUUCUGUAUUAAAAUCAAAAACUAUAUAAACUUAGAUACUUCACAAGGUCAUACAUAGGUUUUUGUGCUUGUCCAUUCUAUUAUAUAAUAUUAUUUAUGAUUUAUAAAUCGAAAAUUUUAUAAUAAUUGAUUAUAAGCAUUUCUGUAAUUAGUAAUUCGUUUUAGGUUAAGUGAUUUGUGCCUGAAUAAUAUUAAUUUUAGUUAACUAUCGUUUCUAGUUUCGCUAACAUAUAUUCCAACAUUUCAAUUGUUAUUGUGGUCUCAAAAGAGUUUUAUACAAAAGGACUUAUAAAUAAUGUAUAAUGUAAAAUUGUACAGCACCACCUCUUCUUUGUGUUGGUAAUAAAAAAAAGAAUAUAACGUUGCUUUUUCGAUACGAAUAUUGUACUGGUAAAAUAAUUUUAAAGGUACCUUCAGUACUUUAUAACCUAUGAUUAAACUCACAACUACUAUGACCAUAAAUUUAGGAAUCAAAAUAUUUUACCUAUUAAUUUUACUACUGAACGUGAAGUUUAUACAGUAACUCUAGUAGGCCGUAGGCUCCAAACAUGCCUAUGAGACAGCCAUAACAGACGGUCACUUCAUACCAUGAUGCGUUUUAGUGGGUGUGUUGCCGUCCUUUAAGGUACCUUAAAAAGAGAAAGAGACUCAUGAAAGCUCUCUUUUUGAUAAUAACUUUAUUUAAUAUGCAUCAACAUCAUAAUCGGUAUGUACAGCGAGUUUUCAAUAACUCAUAAAUAAUAUUUACUAAUAAAGUUACUUCAGGGCUUCUAAAGUCCUAUUAUAUGCCUCUCACAUAUCUCCAAUAGCUGUACACUAUUAUUUUGACUCAUUAAAAGUUUCAUAUAAAAUGUAUAAACCUCUUUGGUAGAUCACAAAUAGAUUAAUUAUCAAUGCAAUAGUCUAUUUGAUAGUUGAGCAUUUAAAAACGUUAUUACUUAAAGUAUAUAAAUACGUACGUAAGUGACGAGUACCGGCCUUAGAGUAAAGUAUAUAAGACGUUACGGCUUGGUGUUGUUUACGGAUGAGGCGGUUUUUAAUCGGUAUCUUGCUUUAUAGGUAUAGCUAUGGUUAAGCUGUGAUUAAAUGUCAUGUGUCCAAAUUUGACAGUUUCUGAUAAAUACUGUAGUAACUGACGUGACAGGACGACAAGUCAAUGUUACUGUCAAACGACUUCAAUCUGUCACCGUUAAAUGUGACUGAUUAAAAUAUAUGUAGAUAUACAUUUUCAAAGAAUUUCCUUCUUAGUAAUAUAUCGCAUCAGUAGUCAUCUGAACACGAAAAAAACUCUUUAUUUAAUUCAAUAACUAACUUAAUUAAUACAAUGACUUGCGUUUGGACAGUAAGACAGAAAAGCAAGAUCCGAAAACCGCCUUAGUCUAUGGGGAUUUAACUACAAUACUUAUCAAUCGCUCAUGCAUGUAGUUAAACCCCAAUAUUUAAGAUACAUUUUUCGAAAUUUCUCUGUCUCUUUCGAUUAGUUAAGGGUUGAUCUUAUUCAAUAUUAAAAAUAUCCUAGACAUGUUUAAGUACUCAAUAGAUGUGUAUAUUUACCGUGCGCAAAUAUAUUCGUUUGUAAUCAGCCUAAUUAUAUCUACUGUACACAUAGACAAAUUAUUUUUCAUUAUGAAAUAGAGUAUAUCGUUAGUGUAAACUGUUAAUUUCUAAUUAAAUUAUUGAUUUGUUAAAAUUAACUUUA